GCUGCGAUGGCCGAGUGGUUAAGGCAUUGGAGUCGAAAUCCAAAAGGGUUCCCCUGCGCAGGUUUGAAUCUUGCUCACAGCG
rfam:Chelonia mydas contig266832, whole genome shotgun sequence.